UGGGAAAAGGUACAUUCAGCAGAUUGGCUA
rnacentral:piRNA from 1 species